AGCCACAGCCAUAUCACCCUACAGCCCAAGACCAGUUACUCACUGAAGCUAAGCAGGUUUGAGCCUGGUCAGUACUUGGAUGGGAGACCAAAUGGGAACACUAAGUUGCUGUUGGAA
ensembl:rRNA 5S_rRNA 5S ribosomal RNA